AAAUAAAUCAAUUCCGCGAACCAGCAGAAGAGAGAGAAAGGAAGUGGCGAUGGAGUCUUCGAAGUAUCAGGCACCGCCUUAUCCAAGUGCGGCGAAGCUCGCAGAUUCCGACUGCUAUCCUCAAUACACUGCCUCACUAAAAUGUUUAGAAGAAUUUCACACGGACAAGAGUAAAUGCCAGGAACAUUUUGACAAUUACAAGGAAUGCAAGAAAAAGGAGAGAGAAGCUCGGCUGGAGCGUAAUAGAAGUCGUUCUUUCUUCUCAUGAAAACUCUGUUUUGAUAUUGAUUAAAGGAGUGUUUGGUAUUCCAAUUACUCAAUGCCCCAGUGUAUUUCAUAUAGAUUGCUGAAACCUCCCUUUCUUUAAAGGCAGUUUGGCUCGAAUUACAGAGGCUAAUAACGUAUUCUCAGUAUAACUCUAGAGUAAUGUGGAUGUUGAUAAGCUGUAUUAUUGCAUUUACCUAUAGAUGUUGAACAUUGUGGUACACGUGAUUAGUAAUUUUGUCUUUUAGGUAAC